UACGGAGGGUGCAAGCGUUAUCCGGAUUUACUGGGUUUAAAGGGUGCGUAGGCGGACUUUUAAGUCAGGGGUGAAAUCCCGGGGCUCAACCCCGGAACUGCCUUUGAUACUAUUGGUCUUGAAUGUUGUGGAGGUGGGCGGAACGGGUCAUGUAGCGGUGAAAUGCGUAGAGAUUAGGAAGAACACCAGUGGCGAAGGCAGGUCUCUGGGCAACAACUGACGCUGAGGAGCGAAAGCGUGGGGAGCGAACAGG
rnacentral:rRNA from 1 species